rnacentral:tRNA from 1 species
UCGGAAUUGUAGUUUAGUUAAAAUAUUAGCAUUGGAAGUUAAAGAUUGGGUUUAUUAAUCCCACUUUCCGAA